UCUGGUAAUGAUGGCAGAGAGGUCACACCCGUUCCCAUACCGAACACGGAAGUUAAGCUCUCUAGCGCCGAUGGUAGUUGGGGCCUUGUCCCUGUGAGAGUAGGACGUUGCCAGGC
rnacentral:rRNA from 3 species